rnacentral:lncRNA from 1 species
CAUAGGCUUGGAAUCUAAUUUCCUUAUUUUAACAUUAUAGGGAAAUCUCUCUAUGUGAAGAGAUUGCAUGAAAAGCUGAAAAAGAAGUUAAACAGUGAAAAAGUGCCUUUAAAGAUUGUUCGGUUGACUGAUGCUCAGGUGGAUGAGUGCCACAUCCUGGACUCCCUCCUAUCUUUCUGGGAUGCUCAGUAUCGGACAAUGCCUAUGAUAUUCCACUUUGAUGUAACUGCUUCGGUACAGACUGGAACUUGGGUCUUUCUUUUCAAACUCCUCAUUUUACAAUACCUAAUGGAUUUACAUGGGAAAAUGUGGCUUCGGAACCCGUGCCACUUAUAUAUCAUUGAAAUUACAGAAAGAAAUUUAGUGCAGUCCAAGAGGUCUUCAAAGCUGGUAUGUACAAGGGCAUUUGCAGGUGGUCAUGGCACACUUUUGAUUCUGUGUCCUAUGUCCUAGGGUGACACAUCUUAGUUGUUUCUGACUUUUGCCUUAGA